CUAAGGGAUCAGUCUAUGUUCCAUCAGCUUGUUGGUGAGGUAAUGGCUCACCAAGGCUAUGACGGAUAUCUGGUUUGAGAGGAUGAUCAGACACACUGGAACUGAGACACGGUCCAGACUCCUACGGGAGGCAGCAGUGAGGAAUAUUGCACAAUGGAGGAAACUCUGAUGCAGCAACGCCGCGUGGAGGAUGACGCAUUUCGGUGUGUAAACUCCUUUUAUUAGGGAAGAUAAUGACGGUACCUAAUGAAUAAGCACCGGCUAACUCCGUGCCAGCAGCCGCGGUAAUACGGAGGGUGCAAGCGUUACUCGGAAUCACUGGGCGUAAAGGGUGCGUAGGCUGGCUUUUAAGUCAGAUGUGAAAUCCAAUGGCUCAACCAUUGAACUGCAUUUGAAACUGAAAGCCUAGAGUUCAGAAGGGGCAGAUGGAAUUAGUGGUGUAGGGGUAAAAUCCGUAGAUAUCACUAGGAAUAUCAAAAGCGAAGGCGAUCUGCUGGGAU
rnacentral:rRNA from 1 species